rnacentral:rRNA from 1 species
GCUUGUCUCAAAGAUUAAGCCAUGCAUGUCUAAGUAUAAGCAAUCAUACUGUGAAACUGCGAAUGGCUCAUUAAAUCAGUUAUCGUUUAUUUGAUAGUACCUUUACCUGGAUAACCGUGGUAAUUCUAGAGCUAAUACAUGCUAAAAACCUCGACUUCGGAAGGGGUGUAUUUAUUAGAUAAAAAACCAAUGCCCUCCGGGGCUCCUUGGUGAUUCAUAAUAACUUAACGAAUCGCAUGGCCUUGCGCCGGCGAUGGUUCAUUCAAAUUUCUGCCCUAUCAACUUUCGAUGGUAAGAUAGUGGCUUACCAUGGUCUCAACGGGUAACGGGGAAUUAGGGUUCUAUUCCGGAGAGGGAGCCUGAGAAACGGCUACCACAUCCAAGGAAGGCAGCAGG